AUGAAAGAAAUAUUCUUGAUGAAUAUCGACAGUACAUUUUUCCUCUUUUGAGACUGAAAUUGGCAGUCCAUUUAUUUUUCAAUCUAAUCGAGUCCAUUAGCGUACCAUCAAAUCCAGGAUCUAACCUAGACUUUCCACCCUCAUCCUAUAUAAGAUACUGCUUUUCCCAACGUUUUUCAUACCCCCACUUUUAACCUAAAUAAAAGCAGAGCCACUCAUUCACUAGACCUAGCCACAGAUGUACGGAUUGAGCCGCCUCUGUUCGCCCAACAACCUCGUCGAUCUCUUCGCGGACGCCGCCGCCUAUCCGAAACGGUUGCUCAGACCUAUUUCCUUCACCCACACCGGUCGCCGCUCUCUUGCAUCUGCAGACAGCGGCGUCUGCAAUGUUUAUUUGGUCGGAUCUACUCGCCGUUGUCAGGUAAUUUUGCUAUUAUUUGUUCAAUGGUUGUCUACUUAUCAAAUGAAUUUGUAUGAAUUGCCUAAAAAAAAAAAGAAUUUGCAUGAAGCUAUUACAAUUGCUUAAAUCAAUUGUUCUUUCUUUUCAGAAAUCUUGGGCAGAAAUUCCAAUAUGUGGUGUUGUUAAAACCAGAGGUGAUUAUCCUUUGAAAUUAGAAGCCAUAAAGGCUAUCACUAUUAUUUUGCUGUAUUUUUAUGUUACUAUCUUUUAUGCUAUCGUUAUCCUCCAUGACCUUUUUUAUGAUGCAUUGCAGAUUGUUUUCGUGGAAUUGUGCUCUAGACGCACGGCGAGGUUAGCAUUCAUAUGUAUUUGUUUUAAUUUUUUAUAGAAUUAAAUUAAUUUAGUGAGAUAUAAUCAUGAAAUUGUAGCAGUAGUAUGCUCUUGUUUGGUUUCUUAAAGAUAUGUACAUGUAAAUCUGUGGGAUCUUAGCUUGAUAGUUGAUACAGAUGAACAGUGAUGAGAAGAUAAUUAGCAAAAUGAAUUAUUCGGAACUUUAGUUUUAAGCACAAUUAAUAAAUUAAGCAGGUAACAACUGUGAGAAUUUGUAAGGGAACUAAUGAUCUUCACGUGUCACGAACUCUCCCUUUGUUUUGACUUUUCUCUUGUUCAAUUCGUGAUAUAAUGUUUCUUUGUUUGCUCUUACUAUUUAUUUAAUUCACAAACAAGCCUUGUUUUUCAUCCUGCUAGUAUAUGAUUCUAUUUGUUGGCUUUUUCAACACAUUUUAUAUAAACUUUGCAAUAUGAUAUUCAUCUCCUAUAUGCACUUUUUUUAGACUUGGUGAUCCUGCGGCAUAUGAGGAAGCAAUGAAAUAAAUAUGGUGCCAAGGUUAUACUUGGUGAUCGACCUAUUGGGUGAGUUACUUUUUUCUUGUGCUUGAAUUUUGAACUGUGAAAAUUGAGUUUUCUUUAAUAUUUUCCUUUUAAUUAGGAGCAUCAAGUUACAUCAUCAUUUAUUUCCACAUGUAGAUCAUUGCAACCUUAAUGCUCGUCUAAUUGUGUUUUUAAAUAGGAAAUUCAUUGCAACCGUGCAAUAUCUAAUUGUUUUUAAAUGUUGUAUAUAGAUAUAUGUCGGCCAAGUUAUUAGAAGUUGCACGCAAGCAUANAU
rnacentral:lncRNA from 1 species